UCUCGUGUGCAGCCCCCGCCGCCAUCUUGAUUGAGGUGGGCGUCCACUCAAGUGCUCCUCACAGAGCCACACUGCCGAAGGGCCUGAAGCUCCAGGUGCGAGGCCUCUCCGCGCGGCCUCUGCGAGCCAGUCAAAGUAGACUGAACACGAAGGAUGAGGAAGAAAAAAGUCCCUCCAAACACAUCUGCUCACUCCCAGCUUGAAAGAUGACGCCACCCUGACACCCAUGGUCACUCAUGACAGAUGCUGAGGAGCCUCCCAAACCAGAAUCAUCUCGGAGGUCUGUCCUCUCUUCUGUAGACGGACCUGCAUCCGCUCUGCCUCCUCAGGUCUCAUCACAGCAUCUUAUCUCCAUCUAUACCUGGGUGCGUGUUGUGUCUGCGUGAGCUCACGACCCCUCGAGGCCAGAACUGUGGGCGUCCCUCUCCUCUUCACGUCUCCUUAGGAUGGAGAAAGUCAACGGAGUGGUCCCUGCAGGGUCCUAUGGAAACAGGUGGGAAAACUGAGUCAAGAAAACGGAAAAGUCCUAAAGCCAUCUUAUUUGUGACCAGUUUGUGGGCGGCACCUGAAUUCCCUGAGACCCAGUCUUUGCUGCCAGUUUGGGUCUGUGAGUCUCCACUGUAGAAAACAGAUCUUUCCAGUGAGUUAGAAACUCAAGAAGGUAAUACUUGUAACUCCUGUCUCCCAGCCAGCACAUGUCCGUCUUUGCUCUAGGACGCUUGAAGUUGUACGGUGGAGGCUCCCUGCAGCCCUGAGCCUCGAUACAUGACGCGUUCUAGCUGGAAACGUCACAUUUAAUCUCCAUCAUCAAGUCUGAGGGGAGCAAUGAGCGCUUCAGCACGAAAAUUUUUGGAGGCUUUGUGAGCUAAACAAAGCCAAUAAAAAAAAAAAAAUCUCCAUCAUCUAUUUAUAACAGGAACCACAGUCUCUGUGCUGUCUACCUCCUGAGUCAGUUCUUCUGGUAAAUUACGUGUGAAUUAUAAGUAAUAUCUGUAUGGUGCUUCAGAAAGUGCUUCCACCUACGAUCAUAUUGUCAUAGAGAUCCUUUCAGAAAGCUAUGAACAAACUUUAUAGAUGAGAAAAUACCUUCAGAGAGGUACAUUAACUUGCUCACCAUCACAGUUAGUAAAAUGGGGUAGCCAAGUUUGGAACCAAGAUCAACUGAAAAGUGUUAGUCACUCAGUUGUGUCCAACUCUUUGCGACCCCAUGGACCCACCAGGCUUC